rnacentral:tRNA from 2 species
GCCAAAGUAGCUCAACGGUAGAGCUCCGGUUUUGUAAACCGGGGGUUAUCGGUUCGAAUCCGAUCUUUGGCU